UUUAUGGAGAGUUUGAUCCUGGCUCAGGAUGAACGCUGGCGGCGUGCCUAAUACAUGCAAGUCGAGCGAACGGACGAGAAGCUUGCUUCUCUGAUGUUAGCGGCGGACGGGUGAGUAACACGUGGAUAACCUACCUAUAAGACUGGGAUAACUUCGGGAAACCGGAGCUAAUACCGGAUAAUAUUUUGAACCGCAUGGUUCAAAAGUGAAAGACGGUCUUGCUGUCACUUAUAGAUGGAUCCGCGCUGCAUUAGCUAGUUGGUAAGGUAACGGCUUACCAAGGCAACGAUGCAUAGCCGACCUGAGAGGGUGAUCGGCCACACUGGAACUGAGACACGGUCCAGACUCCUACGGGAGGCAGCAGUAGGGAAUCUUCCGCAAUGGGCGAAAGCCUGACGGAGCAACGCCGCGUGAGUGAUGAAGGUCUUCGGAUCGUAAAACUCUGUUAUUAGGGAAGAACAUAUGUGUAAGUAACUGUGCACAUCUUGACGGUACCUAAUCAGAAAGCCACGGCUAACUACGUGCCAGCAGCCGCGGUAAUACGUAGGUGGCAAGCGUUAUCCGGAAUUAUUGGGCGUAAAGCGCGCGUAGGCGGUUUUUUAAGUCUGAUGUGAAAGCCCACGGCUCAACCGUGGAGGGUCAUUGGAAACUGGAAAACUUGAGUGCAGAAGAGGAAAGUGGAAUUCCAUGUGUAGCGGUGAAAUGCGCAGAGAUAUGGAGGAACACCAGUGGCGAAGGCGACUUUCUGGUCUGUAACUGACGCUGAUGUGCGAAAGCGUGGGGAUCAAACAGGAUUAGAUACCCUGGUAGUCCACGCCGUAAACGAUGAGUGCUAAGUGUUAGGGGGUUUCCGCCCCUUAGUGCUGCAGCUAACGCAUUAAGCACUCCGCCUGGGGAGUACGACCGCAAGGUUGAAACUCAAAGGAAUUGACGGGGACCCGCACAAGCGGUGGAGCAUGUGGUUUAAUUCGAAGCAACGCGAAGAACCUUACCAAAUCUUGACAUCCUUUGACAACUCUAGAGAUAGAGCCUUCCCCUUCGGGGGACAAAGUGACAGGUGGUGCAUGGUUGUCGUCAGCUCGUGUCGUGAGAUGUUGGGUUAAGUCCC
rnacentral:rRNA from 1 species